rnacentral:rRNA from 1 species
UACGUAGGCAGCAAGCGUUGUUCGGAAUUACUGGGCGUAAAGAGUGUGUAGGCGGUGCUCUAAGUUUGGUGUGAAAUCUCCCGGCUCAACCGGGAGGCUGCAUCGAAUACUGGAAUGCUAGAGGGUGGGAGAGGUAAGCGGAAUUCCUGGUGUAGCGGUGAAAUGCGUAGAUAUCGGGAGGAACACCAGUGGCGAAGGCGAUCACCUGGGGUUGUUCUGACGCUGAGGAGCGAAAGCUAGGGGAGCAAACGGG